AAUGACUUAGAUUUACUAUUUAUUCUAGGUAGAAAAAGCCGGCUGGACGCUGGAUGAAGUUGAUCUCUUCGAAAUCAAUGAAGCUUUUGCAUCACAGUCUGUAGCUGUUGUCAAGGAACUGGGUAUAAACCCAGAGAAGGUAAACAUCCAAGGUGGUGCUAUUGCUUUAGGUCACCCUCUGGGAAUGUCUGGGUGCCGCAUUCUGGUUACGCUUCUCUACGCACUGGAGAGAACAGGAAAAAAGCGUGGCAUUGCUUCUUUGUGUAUAGGAGGUGGAAUGGGAAUAGCUAUGUGUGUUGAAAGGCAAUAAAAUACACCUAAAUUUUACUACAAGAACUGAAGAUACUCUGCAGCUAAGCUACUGACUGGAUAAAAUUGAGCUUUUAUUUUAGAGGUUACAGCCUGAUUCCAAUGAAAUGUAGGUGCAUUUUGUUUUUAUAAUGAAUGUGUAAAGUAGGUAGGUUUUAAAACUAUUCAAAACUUCAGUCCACAUAAAAUGGUUCUGAAAAUUAGUGUAACUUUUAAAUAUUUGAUUAAAAGUACUGAAGUUUGAAAUCAUA